UGGAUCUCAAAGCUGAGAACAAUAGGUGACAAUACCCUCCCAUUGAAACAAAGAGCUACAUCAUCCUGAGGACCUGAUAAAGAGGGGUCUGAAGGAGCCUGAUUGUUGAAGCAAAACUUCCCGUUUACCUACUGAUUGGAGGGUUUUUGAGCAUCUGGAAGCCAGAACAAAAAUGACCAUCCAUCCUCCCGCUGACCUUCCAGAUGACUGCAGGUGCAUGAGCACGCCCAGCAGGGAUCAGCUGAGCAAAAUCACCUCGCCGAAUCAUAGGCAGCAAGAAAAAAAGGCAGAGCGACAUGAUGAGGAAAACAAAAAGAUGAGAUUGCUUACACCCUGCAGCUGUGUCUUUAGCCUUGCAUAAAGCUUUUCUUCUUUUACUUUAAUCAGUAGGGCGUGCUCAGAAAUGUAAAAUGGCCUUUCAAAUGGCAUGUGUUUUCAGCCUAAACAUCAUCUCAUAAUUCAUGCUACAAGUGUUUCAAAACCUUUAGAUGAAAGUAGCAUAAUGACAGAUAUUUUAUUAGAGUAUGAAGCAUUUUGGUACAAAUACUUCAGUCUUGAAGCGUUCCCAACAGAACUUUUACCUGCUUCCCACGAAGGUGGUUUUAGAUCCAAGAAAACCAUUUGCUUGUAGAGAGAUGUGGAGAAUGCAGGAUGGCAGAUGCACACUCCCUUUAUCUCCUUUUUUCAAAGCUUACAGCAAAAGAAAAUGUCAGUGAAAACUCAUAAUCCCUUAGCAUCUAAUAGUAGUUGGAAAGAAGAAUGGCUUGAAAUAAGAAUCAGCAAUCCUUUUAUCACUAUGAACUACAGAGUGGAAUUCUGCAUAAGAGAAGUCUGUCUUGCAUCACUUCUUGUAAGCUUAGUCAGUGAAGUAUAUUUCAUUUAUAGAAAUCAUCCCAUCAUUCAACCUGUGCUUAUUGAGAGUCUCCUCAUAA
rnacentral:lncRNA from 10 species